GCCUGCGUAGCUCAACGAUAGAGCAACAGUUUUGUAAACUGUAGGUUGAGGGUUUGAUUCCCUUCGCAGGCU
rnacentral:tRNA from 1 species